ensembl:lncRNA
UUCAAACUUUGUCCACCAACAGGAUGGUGUUAAUUAUAUCCCAGCUACAAUUAUCACAGAAACAAGCAACUUAAUAUAAAAUGUUUUGCAAUAACAAGUUUAUAUUCUGAAAUAGAUGUAUCACAUGAAUGAAUCAUUAAGAGGUUAGAAAUCCACCAAUAACUCUGUACAAAUAGAGGAAGAAACAGACUCAGAGGAAGAGGGCGGGCUUUACUUGGUGUCAGUGAGAGAAAUGAAAAAAAGCUGAAAUGAGUGAGAAGGACGAUGAAGGAAACAUCUGUGCUGUGUCUGCUCUUCUAUUCACUGACAUCUUAAUCCUGUGUUCUCCUGAGCUUGAACCUGAACGUCAGACCAACCAUCGACUGCAGGAGACAUGAGCCUCAGACCAUCUCACCGUCACUAUCUUCAUCAUCAUCAUCAUCAUCAUCAUCAUCAUCAGGUCUAGGUACCCUUGCCCCUGGAGGGGGAAACUGCACCCAGACCCAGGUAGUGUUACCCUUUUCUCUGGGGUGGGGAGAAGCAGACCGCCCCGACUCCACAGCAGCAGGGAGGCCCCACAUUCCAGACCCCAAUCGGAUGGCCAACUCCUCCUCCUAGCCCCCCCGCCCCAACAGGCAACAGAGAACGGGGGUGUGUGAAGACUCCAAACCUCCCUCCGC